UACGGAGGGUGCGAGCGUUGUCCGGAAUCACUGGGCGUAAAGGGCGCGUAGGCGGCGCGAGUAGUCAACGGUGAAAGCCCGGGGCUCAACCCCGGGUCGGCCGUCGAUACUCUCGUGCUUGAGCACUGUAGAGGCAGGUGGAAUUCCGCGUGUAGCAGUGAAAUGCGUAGGGAUGCGGAGGAACACCGAUGGCGAAGGCAGCCCCCUGGGCUGACACUGACGCUCAGGCACGAAAGCGUGGGGAGCAAACAGG
rnacentral:rRNA from 1 species